AUACGGAGGGUGCAAGCGUUACUCGGAAUCACUGGGCGUAAAGCGCGCGCAGGCGGGCUGAUAAGUUGGAUGUGAAAGCCUACGGCUCAACCGUAGAACUGCAUCCAAAACUGUCAGUCUAGAGUCUGGGAGGGGAAGAUGGAAUUAGUUGUGUAGGGGUAAAAUCCGUAGAGAUAACUAGGAAUACCAAAAGCGAAGGCGAUCUUCUGGAACACUACUGACGCUGAGGCGCGAAAGCGUGGGGAGCAAACGGGAUUAGAAACCCGAGUAGUCC
rnacentral:rRNA from 1 species